rnacentral:rRNA from 1 species
AGUGAACGCUGGCGGUAGGCCUAACACAUGCAAGUCGAACGGCAGCACAGUAAGAGCUUGCUCUUACGGGUGGCGAGUGGCGGACGGGUGAGGAAUACAUCGGAAUCUACUUUUUCGUGGGGGAUAACGUAGGGAGACUUACGCUAAUACCGCAUACGACCUACGGGUGAAAGCAGGGGAUCUUCGGACCUUGCGCGAUUGAAUGAGCCGAUGUCGGAUUAGCUAGUUGGCGGGGUAAAGGCCCACCAAGGCGACGAUCCGUAGCUGGUCUGAGAGGAUGAUCAGCCACACUGGAACUGAGACACGGUCCAGACUCCUACGGGAGGCAGCAGUGGGGAAUAUUGGACAAUGGGCGCAAGCCUGAUCCAGCCAUACCGCGUGGGUGAAGAAGGCCCUCGGGUUGUAAAGCCCUUUUGUUGGGAAAGAAAAGCAGCAGGUUAAUACCCCGCUGUUCUGACGGUACCCAAAGAAUAAGCACCGGCUAACUUCGUG